rnacentral:lncRNA from 1 species
GGAAAUCAUCGCUGAGCCAUGCCACCGGGCGCCUCCAUCGCCUCUUUGCUCCUCCUGCUCGCCUUCGUCCUCGAGGCGCGAGGGGAGACGGUGACCACCUCUUUCGACUUCCCCAGUUUCGACUCCAGCCCCGCAGACAUCAUCUUCCUAGGCCACGCCUCAUCCGCCAACGGCUCUCUAGAGCUCAACGAGGACGGCGAUUACAGCUAUGGCCGAGUCAUCUAUUCCAACCCAAUACAUCUUUGGGACAACGAAACCGGGAAUCUCGCAAGCUUCGCCACCAAUUUCUCCUUCCCCGUGAUCCGGCCUCCGAACAAGGGGUAUUUCGCUGAUGGAUUAGCCUUCUUCCUUGCCCCCACGGGCUACGGUAUACAAGAUAAUAGCUCGGGUGGCCUUUUAACUCUCUUCCAAAGCUACAGCAAAGGCCGGUCGGUUAAGGUUCCCGUGGUAGCCGUCGAGUACGACUCCUACAAAAACCUAUGGGAUACGUUUGGCGCCCCCCAUGUGGGGAUCGACAUCGGCUACAUCGAGUCCACACAGUCGGCGGAGUGGGAGUCGAUCUCCGGCCAGGACAGAAGCACCAUCGACGUAGUGAUCACCUACGAUGCCGGCACCACCAGGCUUAAAGCCUACUUCUCGGAGAGGAAUGGCACGGACCAGAGCUUGGCUUGGGACGUCGACCUGAGAAAGGAACUCCCCGAAAGUGUGAACAUAGGCUUCGCGGGCGCCACUGGCGCUGACUUUGAACGUCAUGUGAUACAUUCCUGGAGCUUCAACUCAAGCCUGGAUGUUGCCGACCGUAACGGUAACACUACAAACGGCGGCGACGCCGGUGGUACCAAGAAGAAAAGCAGCAUCGGCCUCCUGGCUGGUGUGCUAGCCGGCGCGGGAACCUUGGCAAUCGCAGCGGGUUUGGCGCUGUUCCUCGUCCGGCUGAGAACGGCGUAUGCCAAGAAUGGAGGACAAGACGAGGUCAUCAACGAGAGAGAACUUGACGAAGGCAAGGGACCCAAGAGCUUCUCGUAUUCGGAACUCGCCCGGGCAACCACCAACUUUGCGCCAGAACAAAAGCUAGGAAGAGGAGGAUUCGGAGACGUUUACAGAGGAACCUUAACCCAGCCGAAAAUGGUGGUAGCCAUCAAGAGAGUGGCAAAAGACUCGAGGCAGGGAAAGGAGUAUGUCGCCGAGGUGAAGGUCAUCAGCCGCGUGCGCCACCGCAACCUCGUGCAGCUCGUGGGGUGGUGCCACGAGAAGGGGGACCUGCUUCUCGUCUAUGAGUACAUGCCCAACGGCAGCCUCGACGCCCACCUCUACGGCGGCGGUAGUCCUCUGUCGUGGCCGACGAGGUACAGCAUCGCUCGGGGUGUCGCGGCGGCGCUGCUUUACCUCCACGAAGAGUCGGAGCAGUGCGUGGUGCACAGGGACGUCAAGUCGAGCAAUGUGAUGCUGGACACCAAUUUCAACGCCAAGUUAGGGGAUUUCGGCCUUGCGAGGCUCGUGGACCACGGCGGCGGCAUGGAGACGACGGCCGUGGCUGGGACGAUGGGGUACCUGGCGCCGGAAACCGCGACGACGGGUAGGGCGAGCAAGGAGUCGGACGUCUACAGCUUCGGGGUGCUGGCCUUGGAGAUCGCCUGCGGGAGGAGACCCAUCGAUUACGGCAAUAAAGAGGAUCGGGUUAGUCUCGUUGACUGGGUUUGGGAUCUCUACGGGAAGGGCGCCGUUUUGGAGGGGGCGGACGAGAAGCUGGGCUCGGACUACAACCGGCAGGAGAUGGAGCGGCUGAUGGUGGUGGGGCUGUGCUGCGCCCACCCGGACCACCUGCAACGGCCGUCGAUGCGGCAGGUGAUUGGCAUUCUUCUUUUCGAAAUGCCAUUGCCAAAUCUUCCGGUCCAGAUGCCGGAGCCGUCCUACGGAGGGGUUUCCGUUUCUAGGUCCAACCUGGCCACCAUCAACGGGUGGUCGUCGCCUCCGUCGAUUCAGCUGGCUUCCACUGACAGCAAACCACUUCCGUAUCCGCCCGUCAGGUAAAGCCAUCAGAUUCAACGUUUUCGUUUUAUUCUUCGAUUUACUCUUGGCUUGUCUUUUUAGGCGGUCGUCGCAUUAACGGGUCCAGCGACUGGGCUGACCAUUUCUCACCAAAACGGCCGUCGACCGACAGAUCUCAGUGCACGCUCCAACUCUCCCAUUAACAACCACUCGGUCCUUAGAGGUGUUAAUAAGUAGAACCUCUCUUCUCUACUUCAGUGUACUAUUUGACAGUUGUGAAGAGAAGUUCAACGUAGAUAUCUAAGGGCCUAAUCGAAGUUUUGAAGGCCAUGAUUAGAUAUCUAUUUUCUGAGUUCUUGAUGAGAGUUUUCUUGUGAUCUUAUCAUAUCUAACUAAAGCUUUCGUCAUUGUUUUUCGUAGACAAAAGAAGAGGUAUAUGGAACCAUGUUAAAGUGUUUUAUGCUAGUACCCUAUUAUGAGUUGAUCACAUCAUGUAGAUUGCAUAAACAAUAUUUUGCUAGUACCCUACUAUGGGUUUUGUUCACCUAUUUUUUUUGCUUUAUUUCAUUACUCCUAGGUGAGUUCAUGACUCCUCCACACCUUUCACUAGAACAUGGACCAGAUCUGCAUAAUCGACUAAGAGAGGAGAUCAAUUCAACCUGUCUAAGUUUAUCUUUUCUUUCAUAUCAGCUUUUAGGUGGCUGUGACUCCCAACUCUCUCUAGUGUAAGAGGAUUCCUCUCGUUUACCCUUAAAAUUCACAGGCAACACUACUGCGGAUUUGAGUUUGGCAAGAAGUGAACUCGAUGAGCUCCAAAAGAGUAAAAGGAAAAUAUGUUGUAAGUAGGGAGAAAGUACGUCCAGAUAUGGAGGAGAAGAGGGCUGGAAUAGAGGAUGGACGGGAGUUCGUGGAACAAAAUAAGCCCUCAAAAUCAAAUUUCUUGAGUUGUUUACAACCAAAUAGAGAGGGUUUUAUCUGAAGGUAGAGAACUUAAUUCAAAAUUGAUUAAAAACAAAAAAAAGAAGGAAGAGACUAAAACUCAUGAUUUCUAGAUAUUAAUAUGCAUACUCAACUAUAAACUCAUGAGAUGCAGUUAGGAAUCUAACUUAAUGUUUUCCUUCAAACUAGUUACAUUGAUAUUGAUGAUAUUUCUCAAUUGUUGUCCUUACAUGGCAUCUAAAGAUGCUGCAUUAACAUGAAGCCGUACCUAGGUCAAUACAUACAUUUUAACAAUAUGGGAAUUUUUUUUAUUAAAGUCAAUACCUUUCUCUUUGCAUAAACCUUUCACAACUAAUUUAGUCUUGUACUUUAGAUGUAAAGGUUAUCAUUGAGUCUUCAGCUUGAAAGUUCAUUUGUUCUCUAUGGCUUUCAUCCCCUUUGAUAGUUAUACUAGAUCAUGUAUGUGGUUUUUCUACAAUGCCUCCAUUUCUUCACACAUUGCUACUAGCCACUUAAUUUUAAGCUCAAUUUCAACUACCUUUCGGUAACUAUCUAGUUCGCCUACAUCAGUAAGUAUAAUAUAUUUACCUAGAGGAUGAAUUUUAGAAGGUUUUAUAUGAUCCAAGAAAAAUUAUAGAUGAGUCUUCAUGGGAGAAUGUUCCUUCACUUCUCCAUGCUCAUCAUGUUGAUAGACUCCUAAGUACCCAAGUCCCUUGUCGCCAGAAACGGAGCAAAAGAAAGGAACGGAUUGCCAGAGCGGAAGACCAGCGCCCAACAUGAGUAAGUUUUGGGCCAGAAAUGAUGGGCCCAGAUGGAGGGCUUGGGCUGGUUAAGGCCUGACCAGUCAACAGCCAACUGUCACAGCGACAGUUUAAAUACUAGAGCAAGAGAUCGAGCGGGAGGAGAGAAAAAUCAAGAUUCUUCUACCCCAUCUGCCUCGACGUUUCACUCUGUCUGUCUGUCUGUCUGUCUCUCUCUCUCUCUCUCUCUCCCUCUCUCUCUCUCUGUUUCGCUCUCUAUUUCUCUCUCUCUUUCUUUCGUCAUGAUCUCGGCUAGAUCUGCUGUUCAUCAACAUCCUUGCUGCCUGAUCCUUUACCUCCUUCUGCAUUGUCUUUCCGGAGUUCGGAAAUGAUUGCUCUCGAGAUCAGGAACUAGUAAUUCUUGCAUUUCAAGAAAUUGAGAAAGGUGAUUGCGUACGUAAUACUUCUUCUUGUUCUCUGAAAUUCUUGUGUCUAAAAUCUUAAUAUCUUAUUUUGAGUAAAUUUCUUGAUAUCCUUCUGUUCUAUCUUUGAAUCAUUGGUUGAACUUCAACCGUUCCCUCCAAAUUUAUAUUGAUUGUGAGGAAUAUAAAAAAAGGAGAUCCUAUCACAUGUCUUAUAGGCAAGUUUGCAUCAAUUUCACUUAUAUCAUGUCCAUAGUAUUAGAAAGGCAGCAGCUGGAUGACGGGCAGCGGUGGAAAUAGUCGGACGGAAGAAGUGGUGGCAGAUGGAUAUUGGCCCUCAGGACCUCUCCUUCGGAGCGAAGAUGGUUGACCCUCACGGCCUCUCCCUCAUGGAGCAGACACAAGUAGUUCCUCAGAAUAAUCUCUUAUCUGGAGAUGGUCGCAAGACCUCGCCGCUCCUAGUUAGAAGCUCCACCUUUGUCUCUAUCUGGUCGUUGUCGCCAUCUGUCGUCGCCUCCACCACUGCCUUCGCUGCCACCGCCAUCUUCCUCGUCUUCUGCCGUCGUCUUCUUCCUCGUCGUCCACCACCAUAGGGGCGCGAGACAACUCUCUCUAAGGAGCUCGGCAAAAUAGCCCCGUAACUUCGGGAGAAGGGGUGCCUCCUCACAAAGGGGGUUGCAGCGACCAGGCCUGGGCGACUGCCGCCACUAUUUUGUAUAUGUCCGCUUCGGCCUCCGACACUCUUGGUCCGCCACUAUCUCUACCUUCAUUGCCGUCGCCUCCAUCCCGUCGCCGACCACCUCAUCGCCGCCGCCGGCUGUCCAAGAUCAACCCCAUUCUGUCGUCGCCGCCACCAUCCCUUCCCGCUUCUUCCACUGCCAUUGUCGCCCUUCCCAACCUUUGUUCCUCUGGUGAUCUGUUCCGCCGGUUUCUUUCCCAAUUAGGGCUUAAAGGCCCCGAUUCGUGGGUCCCAAUCUACUGGUUGAACUCGUUCGGUGAUCUCGACCAGGCCACCCUCCGAUGCGAGCCCCAUUGGUCUGAACGAACCCGCCACAGGUUCGAGCCAACGUGGACAAUUGGGUCCACGUCGUUCUCCCGCGCCAGGCCGAGCCAUUCUGACCAUCUGGUCCACGUCGGGCAUCCCGUCCAGCUGGAGCCAAGACUCAAUCAAAUUUCUACGACAUAGUGAAUGAUCAAUUAUCUAGGCAACGGUCAACAGCGUGGUCAAAAGUCAACUAUUAAUAUUCUGCAACCAAUAGUCUCUCUUCUCAGUCCUUUCCAAGGUAAGUAGUUCUCACGCAUCAUAUAUCUCUGCUCAUUUAAUAUAUUCUUAUUGCGAUUGUCCGAGGGUGACUAUAGUGUAACCAUAUGUUUCUGAGUUUAAUGAGCAUAGUAUAACGACUGGUGACUUUUCUGAGCUACCCGAUCACGGCUGUCCUUGUAGAAACACAGCCGUCACGAGGGCCCUCGGCCGUCAACCUUGUGGGAAGAAAUGUACCCGUCAGACCUCAGCUUUCCUCCUGCCCGUGGACAGCGUAGAGGUCAACGUGGACAGGCCACAUGCACUGAAUGCAAUUAAACGUGUUUAAACAUUGUACCCCGUCAGUCUUCAUUUUUGUAAAGAUUUCAAGGAUCUUCCAUGGAAAAUCUAAAAGCUCAACGAAUUAUCUUUGAUGCGAAGUGGAAGUGAAAAGGAUCGAGUAGUUUAAGAAAACCAUUUGAUGUAGAAUGCUCAACGAUUUUAUAGUUCAGAAAAUGUUUAAUACCACAGUUUAACAAUACACUGAAUAUGUAAAGUGGCUAUCGUAUGAUCUCUCAACCCACUAUAACAAGAAAGUAUAUUAAAUGAACAAAUGAAAUAGAGAAAUAAGAAGAUAUACUUGAACAUUGAAAAUAACGGUUGACCAUUGACCAAUAUAUUUGACCUUUUAUCUGUUUACCGAUGACUUGUCCUUGUUGACGGUUGACUGUGGAUGACCAAUCAGCUGCAGCGGCUCACAGCUAAGGGGUGGACCUGACUUGGUCCCAGUGGCUGGAUGGCUUUCGCCAGACGGUUUGGAUCGCGGCUGGCUAAAAGGUGUAAGUGUUGGUGGGCGGCUGGAAAUGGGCCAGGUAAAAUCAAGCCCUAGCCGUAAGAGGAGGGGCCAUCAGGAGGCGGCGGGAGAGGGGAAAGAGGGGUCGGUGGCGACGGCAGGCGGAGGCUGCAGCCGGUGGCGAGGGGAUGGCAGGCAGCGGCGGGCGGCGGAAAGGUGAGAGCUGGCGGCAAGGCCAUGGCUGGUAGCGGCAGGCGGUGGCAGGCGUCGGGAAGACGACGGCUGGCGGUGGCGGGAGGUAAUGGCGGCGAGCAGUGGCCGGCAGCGACGGGCGGAGGAUGAUGCGACUGGAAGGUGGUGGCGAUGCAGGCCGCGGCGGUACAAUGGCGAUAGAAGAAAGGGAAGGUGGGGGAGGGAAUGGUGCUCCAGACCAAGAGUGGCGGGGUCCUCUGACCAACCCAAGCCGGGGUGACGGGAUCUUACGAUCAGUUAAGAUAAGGAACUAAUCCUCAAAACUCCAUUUUUAAUUCUCCUUAAAUCAAAGGUCUGAAGGCCGAUUUAUAAGCCUUUCUACAGUGAAAUCUUAGUCAGUCAAUAAUGAAGGAAAUCUUCUAUUGCAAGGCAUUUGUUUUGAUGGCUUAAUCGGCGCGUAGCCGGAUCAAGGGCGUCGUCCACACCUUCUAUGUUGGUCAUUCCCCCAAUUUGAUUCAAAUCACCUUCCUUGAUCAAGAGAUGGUUUGGGCGCGCUGCAUCAAUCCCCCACCGCAAAAAGCGGUCCUCGUGGCCACGGCAGGGUUGGUUGGUGAUCCUCACCGUCCUUCCGGGAAAAGACCUCGCGACUUACCCCUUGUCCCCUUCGAGGACGAUGGAACCUUCGUGUGGCGGCUCCGGUAGGUCAACUUGGGGCUGGAUGGUCGCCGCCUUUCUUGAAAGCCUCACCGGAACACGCGUAGACCGAAGCGAUUAUCGCUUCAUUAUUUAGGGGCGCCGCCACCCACUCGCCCAUCAGGAGGAGCGCUCGAAUUUAAUAAACGAGCGGUUACUGUCACGAUAACAAGGCCGAGAACUUACAAAAUGUUUCAUAGCCAGAGUGCCGUGACGGCUUUCGCACCUUACAGCGGCCUUGUGGAGGCCCCAACCCACCUCCACGGAAAUCAUCGUUGAGCCAUGCCGCCGGGCGCCUCCAUCGCCUCUUUGCUCCUCCUGCUCGCCUUCGUCCUCGAGGCGCGAGGGGAGACGGUGACCACCUCUUUCAACUUCCCCAGUUUCGAUUCCAGCCCCACAGACAUCACCUUCCUGGCCGAUGCCUCAUCCGCCAACGGAUCCCUAGAGCUCAACUUGAACGCCGGAUACAGCCUCGGCCGAGCCAUCUACUCGAAACCAAUCCGCCUCUGGGA